rnacentral:rRNA from 1 species
CCAAUAGCGUAUAUUAAAGUUGUUGCAGUUAAAAAGCUCGUAGUUGAACUUCGGGGUUUACCCAUUGGUCAGGCUUAAUUGUCUGUACUGGUGAGAUGAAUCUCUACCUUCUGAGGAACUUUCAUGCCAUUUAUUUGGUGUGAUUGGAAAUCAGGACGGUUACUUUGAAAAAAUUAGAGUGUUUAAAGCAGGCUAACGUCUGAAUACAUUAGCAUGGAAUAAUGAAAUAGGACGGACUGAUUCUAUUUCGUUGGUUUCUAGGAUCACCGUAAUGAUUAAUAGGGAUAGUUGGGGGCAUUAGUAUUCAAUUGUCAGAGGUGAAAUUCUUGGAUUUAUUGAAGACUAACUACUGCGAAAGCAUUUGCCAAGGAUGUUUUCAUUAAUCAAGAACGAAUGUUAGGGGAUCGAAGACGAUCAGAUACCGUCGUAGUCUUAACCAUAAACUAUGCCGACUAGGGAUCGGACGAAGUUAAUUUUAUAAUGACGCGUUCGGCACCUUACG